rnacentral:SRP_RNA from 1 species
CCGGGCCCCUCGUGUGGUGGUACCUUUCCGAACUCCCCCAGGGCAGGAAUGCAGCAAGGGUAGGAGAGCUCUUCCAGGUGCGCGAGGGGUUCUUUCA